GGACGAACGCUGGUGGCGUGCUUAACACAUGCAAGUCGAACGGAAAGGCCCUUCGGGGUACUCGAGUGGCGAACGGGUGAGUAACACGUGGGUGAUCUGCCCUGCACUUUGGGAUAAGCCUGGGAAACUGGGUCUAAUACCGAAUAGGACCACGCGCUUCAUGGUGUGUGGUGGAAAGCUUUUGCGGUGUGGGAUGGGCCCGCGGCCUAUCAGCUUGUUGGUGGGGUAAUGGCCUACCAAGGCGACGACGGGUAGCCGGCCUGAGAGGGUGACCGGCCACACUGGGACUGAGAUACGGCCCAGACUCCUACGGGAGGCAGCAGUGGGGAAUAUUGCACAAUGGGCGCAAGCCUGAUGCAGCGACGCCGCGUGAGGGAUGACGGCCUUCGGGUUGUAAACCUCUUUCAAUAGGGACGAAGCGCAAGUGACGGUACCUAUAGAAGAAGCACCGGCCAACUACGUGCCAGCAGCCGCGGUAAUACGUAGGGUGCGAGCGUUGUCCGGAAUUACUGGGCGUAAAGAGCUCGUAGGUGGUUUGUCGCGUUGUUCGUGAAAACUCACAGCUUAACUGUGGGCGUGCGGGCGAUACGGGCAGACUAGAGUACUGCAGGGGAGACUGGAAUUCCUGGUGUAGCGGUGGAAUGCGCAGAUAUCAGGAGGAACACCGGUGGCGAAGGCGGGUCUCUGGGCAGUAACUGACGCUGAGGAGCGAAAGCGUGGGGAGCGAACAGGAUUAGAUACCCUGGUAGUCCACGCCGU
rnacentral:rRNA from 1 species